rnacentral:misc_RNA from 1 species
AACAUUCUCAUCCAAUAGUACCCAGGUCUCUGGACAUGUUUAUGGAUGAACAAUGAGUCAAUGUGCUUAACUGCUUCCACCAGCUGGGAUAACUUGUGUUUGAUACAUUGACAUGUUCUUCCUGCAAGAUCUGUAUUUUAUCAAUUGGAAAUCAGUUUAAAAGAGAGUUCCUGUGGUUUCUUCUUUUUCCUAAAAGCUUAUCCCCAAUGCAUAAGACUCCCUGCAUUGCGAGAGUUUCUUUCUAGGAUUUGGAACCCAUGACCUUUUAGUCACAAAAGACCAACCUUACUAUUGUGCCAAGGUGGAGAACCUUUACUUUUUCUUCUUUUUUCUAAUUAAUGUUGUUAAAUUUUAAUGUCAAGAUUGAUUGAAGAAACCAAUGAAAAAUAAAUUACUGACUAGAAUCAAAUUACUGAGUGGAAACUACAUACAGUGCAUGUGAUUUCUUGUAAUCUUUUCCUUGUUUUUGAUCUCUGAUGUAGUCAUGUUGACUCAAGAAUCUGAUGAUUCUGGAAGCCCCUUUGUAGCCAUCUUUGCUUCUCCAGAGUAAACAGCGGCCGAUCACAGACAUCGAAAUUGGGUUGGUGAACAGAGAAAACAACUAUCGUUCCAUCAUGAGCAAAAUUUCUUAGGACUUGAUCACAAACAAAGAUGAAGCACUAUCGCAAAUAUAAAUACUUCUUAUAUUUACAAUAUAAUUUAAAAGUAAAAGAAACAAGAGUUUAGAGAUACAAAUAGUAGAUUAACAAGUUUCUUAAGCAUUAUUUACAAUAUAAAACACAUGUACUGGCAAUUUACAAUAUAAGAAAGAAAUUUCAUUGAAGAAACAGAGAAAUACAGAAGAUGAGGAGAGUUGCAACCUAGCCCAUUCCAACAGGAAAGAUGAAGCAGAGCAAAAGGAAAGUGGAUGAGGAGAAUUGCAACCUAGCCCCUUCCGUUUCACACAAUCAAAUGAAGCAGAGCAAAAGGAAAGUGGAUGAGGAGAAUUGCAACCUAGCCCCUUCCGUUUCACACAAUCAA